GGGCUAUUAGCUCAGGUGGUUAGAGUGCGCCCCUGAUAAGGGUGAGGUCCCUGGUUCAAGUCCAGGAUGGCCCA
rnacentral:tRNA from 1 species